AGUUCAAGUCGCAUCCCUUUUUAUUGGGUCUAAAACAUCCGUAGCUUGCCAUAUAAGUCCCUUGUGAAAUCUCGUGUCUCAAGCACGAGGCCUGCAAGAGAUACUGUAUGGCUAGAGAUCGGUAGACGUAAGGAGUACGCCGGAGGUAACGGUUAAAUGUGUUAAUCUUCGGUGGACUAACAAUGAGCGAAGGCACCUUACGAGGACGAAUCUGACAGUCAGGGAUGAAGGCCAGGGGCGCAAAACGGAUUAGAUACCCGUGUAGUCCUGGCAGUAAACACUGCUCACUAAACAUCGGGCCCUCUUCGGGAGGAUUCGGUGCUGAAGCGAAGGCGAAGAGUGAGCUACCUGGGAAGUAUAGUCGCAAGAUCGAAACUUAAAGGAAUUGGCGGGGAGACAUACAACGAGUGACGCGUGCGGUUCAAUCAGAUUUUACACCGUGAACCUCACCAGGAGCGACAGCAGGAUGAAGGUCAGUCUAAAGGGCUUACCUGACACGCUGAGCGGAGAUGCAUGGCCGACGUCAGCCUGUGCUGUGAAGUGACCUGUUAAAUCAGGUAACAGGCGAGACCCGUAUCGUUAAUUACUACAGAAAUGGGUACUUUAGCGAGACUGCCUUGGUAACAAGGAGGAAGGUGCGGGCUACGUUAGGUGGUACAGCCCUAAUCCCCUGGGCUACAC
rnacentral:rRNA from 1 species